GACAGAGGGUGCAAACGUUGUUCGGAUUUACUGGGCGUAAAGCGCGUGUAGGCGGCUCGGCAAGUCGGGUGUGAAAGCCCUGGGCUCAACCCAGGAAGUGCACCCGAAACUGCCGAGCUCGAGUCCUGGAGAGGAAGGCGGAAUUCUCGGUGUAGAGGUGAAAUUCGUAGAUAUCGAGAGGAACACCGGUGGCGAAGGCGGCCUUCUGGACAGGUACUGACGCUGAGACGCGAAAGCGUGGGGAGCAAACAGG
rnacentral:rRNA from 1 species